rnacentral:tRNA from 1 species
GGGCCCAUAGCUCAGCGGUUAGAGCAGUCGACUCAUAAUCGAUUGGUCGCUGGUUCAAUCCCAGCUGGGCCCA